GUAGGGGGCAAGCGUUAUCCGGAUUUACUGGGUGUAAAGGGAGCGUAGACGGCAGCACAAGUCUGAAGUGAAAGCCCGUGGCUUAACCGCGGAACGGCUUUGGAAACUGUGGAACUGGAGUGCUGGAGAGGCAAGCGGAAUUCCUAGUGUAGCGGUGAAAUGCGUAGAUAUUAGGAGGAACACCAGUGGCGAAGGCGGCUUGCUGGACAGUAACUGACGUUGAGGCUCGAAAGCGUGGGGAGCA
rnacentral:rRNA from 1 species